CUUGCACGAUACGGAGUACGUGUUCCAGCCGUCCACCACCCGAAACCGACUCCAUCUUCGAGAAGAAUCGGGCUGCCUCCUGUCUCUAUAUAUGCGUCCACCCUCCCCAGGCCAGCCCCAUAGCCUCUCUCCUCUUUUUCGUCCGCCCGUCGCAGGCUUCUCUUCGUCCGCCUGUGGGAAUCGCCAGGUUCGACGAUUUGCCUCUUCUCUUCACCCUGAUGGGCCUACGAGGCGUUUGAAGACCUAACUGAUUGCUUCGUCAGAUGCGCCGUUCAUGCUCCGGGCGGUCGAAGAUCCUUAUGGAUUGCUCCAUACGAUAACGUCGUUUAUUAUGCUGCACUAUUUCACCGGUUCGGCCAUAAAGGGGCCCGCUUGCCGGUGGCCUGCUGGUGGCUCAUGAUCUUCGGCAGCCUUGGACAUCGGUUUAUGAUGCCCACCACUGCCUUCACGGGCAGGCUUCUAGCUGCAUCGGAAGACUGCUUUUCUGAAGGCUAAGUUCAUCUCCACACGAAGUGGUGGGGAACUGGUUGUCCGGUUGGCUCUUCCUGUUUGGUGGGGGUUCCUUGUUCCUGUUUGCCGCGAUGCCUAUCUCCAGAUGCCAAGUGAAAGGUAUUGUUUUGGUAAGCUGAUGCGCAUGUAUGUGUGCACAUGUGUAUUGUAUCAUUUCCUGUACCAAGACCAGUAGGGUUGGACGGCCUUUGCCUCGUUGGGUGCGCUCGCUUGGCAGGCCACAAGGCAAUAAAAGUAUAUUUUGUUGUGCUCGCGGGGUGGAGAUCGCACGGGGAACUAUCUAUUUGUUCUAUUUUGCCCCGGGUUCUCCACACUGCUAUGGUGUCCUGUUCUGUCCGCUUGAUUCCGUUACACGUCUGCAUGAUUCCUAUCGGGGAAAGCACACUACAAGAACUAGCUUGCUCAGAUUUGGUCAACCAAAUGACAAACCAAAGGUACAUCUAACUGCUGCUCUUAAUUUAUUUAUUUUCCAUAACUCGAGGAUCAACUUGACAUUGACUUCCAAGUUCCAUGCAUCCUUGAGAUCUUAUUGCCAUAUCCACAGCUGAAAUGUCAGCAAUUCACCAUUACUGAACACCCUGCUUAUCCCAAUGCCAAUUUAAUCUGGCAGUAUUGAUUUGUGAAGCUUCCGUCAAUGAGUGGCAUAUAAGUUACUGUUAAAAGUUCUGCCAACAGAUAACUAAAAGCUUCCCAACACAUGAAUUUAUAUGCAUAUCCUGGAGGAUUCUUUUAUCUGCUAUGUUCCUUCCGUUAUUUUGUGCUUAGGUUGUCUUUGACUAUAAAGAGUGGUGUUGCUGGCUGAUGUUCUAUUCUGCGGGUUCUCUUUUGUAUAUGACUUCUUCAACUGAUUGUGUAUGUCAGAUUCCUACUGUGGUUCUCAUGGUCCGAAACAAAUAUGUUGUUAGAUGGUACAUAUGCUUCGGAAAUCAUGAGUAUCAAUUCUUCUCCUUUUGUUAGAUCUAAUAAUUGAAUGCCUCGUGAGUUUGUAGUUUGCAACAUUACUAGAUUUGCUACUGGAUCUUCUUCCAUCAAGACAGGUUUGACGAUUGGCCUCCUGUCUGGGGUGUUCCCAAGACCUAAUCGAUUGGUUCAUCAGAUUCCCUGUUUAUGCUCGAGCCGUUUGAAGAUCAUCAUGGAUUGCUUCAUCGCCGUUUAUGUUGUGCCAUCGCCAGUUCACCUUUGGCAGCCUGGUUUGUAAUGGCUGUUGAUCUGGACAAUCAUUUACUUGAAGUUGAUGAAUGCUCUCUGCGAACAGAAGUUUAUGUUAACAUGGAGCGGUGGGAGCUUAAGUCAUCUGGUUGUCUCUUUCUGUUUGGUGAUGUUCCUUAGUUCUGUUUGCUGCUCAAGACGAUGCUUGCCUAUCUCCAAAUGCCACAGGAAGGUAAUUGUUUUGGUAAGCUGAUGCACAUGCUUGUGUGCACAUGUGUAUUGUAUAAUUUCCUGUACCUAGAUCAGUAGGCUAGGAAGGCCUUUGCCAUGUUGGGUGCGCUCGCUUGGCAGGCCACAAGGCAAUAAAAGUACAUUUUGUUGUUCGCGGGGUGGAGAUCGCACGGGGAACUAUCUAUUUGUUCUACUUUGCCCGGGUUCUCCACCCUGCCUUUGUGUGUUUGUCUCGUGCUUCUCCUUGUUCCACCUGUGUGAUUCCUGCUACACGAUUCCAUGGUUUGAAUAACUGCGCGGCAAAUAUUUGUUCAGCUGAGGCACAUCAAUAAUGACAAACCAAAGGUACAUCUAACUUGAUCUUAUUUAUUUAUUUUCUGUAACUUGAGGAUUUAUUUGAACUUCAAUUCCGUGCAUGGUUCUGAUCUCAUUUGAGUAACUUGUCAAAUCCAAGCUGGAAUGUCACCAUUACUGAGCUCAUGCUUUACCCAAAUCCAAUAUAAUUGUACAGUUAUAUUCUGUGUAGCUUCUGCAAAUGAUUAAUACUUCUGGUUUGUUGCAAGAUAGUGAAACUCGAUAAUCAUGUCAGUACCAGUUUGAAGUCGCUAGCUUUCCUGUGCAAUGUUCUGAUGGCUUCUGUUCCACAUGGCAUAGAACGUUCUGCCAAAACAUGAACUGGAUCUUUCCAAUACACUAACUGAAUCUUUUUAUGCAAUAUUCUGAGGAUUAUUUUCUUUCACAAGCAUAUAUUUUGUGGACCUUCUGUUUUGUGAUUUGGUUGUAUUUGACUAUAUAGAGAGGUGCUGCUAGUUGGGUGUUUUAUUUGGAGAAUUGUAUACGAAUUCUCUGUAUUGCCUAUUGGAAAGAUCCACUUCUUUUAUUGCCUCUUGGAAAGAUUUUUUAGUUAUCAUCUCUUGUGCACACAAAGUUUUCAUGUGGGUGCUCUGAGUUAUCUGUUACUGGCUGCUGGUGCUUGCAUGAAGCCUCCUGCAGACUAGUGUUAUGCUGCAGGACAGUAAUGCUACGUGGUGAUGCCAUGGCACUGAUGGUCAUUGGAUGAGUUAUUUCUUCAUAUAUGGGACAUCCUUGAAAGCCGGUCUCCAUGUUGGGUUGUUGGUGCACACUAUGCCUCCAGGAGACUAGCUUGGUUGUGAUUAUUCACAUUGAGCUCAUAACUGCAAUCAUGGAUUGUUGUGAUGAGUUAAGUUCUAGACAUGUAUAUGAUGUAUUUGUUACUUCACCGGCUGUUUUAUGAUGAACCAUUCUUGCUGCCGGGAAGGGCAUAUAAAGUGUUCCGAGCUGCGAGGAUGGCGCAUAGUGUUUAAUGAUGAUGGUGAUGAUCUAAUUGCUUGGAGCGAAGUUUUUCUGCCAUGAAGAGCUGCUGAUAUAGUUCAUACGCGUCUGGUGAUGUAUAAUAAUCUGUUUUAGCUUUUGUUGCAAGUUAAUAGUAGUGGAAAAGGUCAUUGGUUAAUUAUUAUCUCUUCAUCUUUUACAGUGAUUAUCUUGGUUUAUUAAUUGCCUGGUAGAAGGAACCAUUUUUCUGUCUGAUCUAAAUGUCUGAUCUAAAUUGGACACUCACUUUGUUUAAAUAUCUUCAUUUGGACACUCA